rnacentral:misc_RNA from 1 species
GGCUUUAUUAACUGACAGUAAAGAUGAUCGUAAGAAACAUUAGAAAGAGAGAUAAAUUUGGAACAUUAAAAGGGGGUAAAAACUCGAAGAUGUAGAUUUCAUAGUAAGUAAACCAAGAACUUAAAUGGUUUACUUGCUACGUGGGCAAAUUAUAUUCUUUUUGCUCGAGGAUCUUGGGUAACAUAAUGGCUUUUAACACACU